rnacentral:rRNA from 1 species
UAGGGAAUCUUCCACAAUGGACGCAAGUCUGAUGGAGCAACGCCGCGUGAGUGAAGAAGGGUUUCGGCUCGUAAAGCUCUGUUGUUAAAGAAGAACGUGGGUAAGAGUAACUAUUUACCCAGUGACGGUAUUUGACCAGAAAGCCACGGCUAACUACGUGCCAG